AACGUAGGAGACAAACGUUAUCCGGAAUCACUGGGCGUAAAGGGUGCGUAGGCGGGUCUUUAAGUCAGGGGUGAAAUCCUGGAGCUCAACUCCAGAACUGCCUUUGAUACUGAGGAUCUUGAGUUCGGGAGAGGUGCGUGGAACUGCGAGUGUAGAGGUGAAAUUCGUAGAUAUUCGGAAGAACACCAGUGGCGAAGGCGGCUCACUGGACUGGUAUUGACGCUGAGGUGCGAAAGCGUGGGGAGCAAACAGG
rnacentral:rRNA from 1 species